UGGGGAAUAUUGGACAAUGGGCGCAAGCCUGAUCCAGCAAUGCCGCGUGUGUGAAGAAGGCCUUCGGGUUGUAAAGCACUUUUAUCAGGAGCGAAACGCUGUCGGCUAAUACCCGGCGGAACUGACGGUACCUGAGGAAUAAGCACCGGCUAACUUCGUGCCAGCAGCCGCGGUAAUACGAAGGGUGCAAGCGUUAAUCGGAAUUACUGGGCGUAAAGCGUGCGUAGGCGGUUUCUUAAGUCUGCUGUGAAAUCCCCGGGCUCAACCUGGGAAUGGCAGUGGAUACUGGGAGGCUAGAGUGUGUCAGAGGGUGGUGGAAUUCCCGGUGUAGCGGUGAAAUGCGUAGAGAUCGGGAGGAACAUCAGUGGCGAAGGCGGCCACCUGGGACAACACUGACGCUGAGGCACGAAAAGCGUGGGGAGCAAACAGGAUUAGAUACCCUGGUAGUCCACGCCCUAAAACGAUGCGAACUGGAUGUUGGUCUCAACUCGGAGAUCAGUGUCGAAGCUAACGCGUUAAGUUCGCCGCCUGGGGAGUACGGUCGCAAGACUGAAACUCAAAUGAAUUGACGGGGUCAUAGCUGUUUCC
rnacentral:rRNA from 1 species